GAUGGUCAUUAAAUCAGUUAUAGUUUAUUUGAUGGUUUUUGCUAYAUGGAUAACUGUGGUAAUUCUAGAGCUAAUACAUGCAUUCAAGCCCCGACUUCUGGAAGGGGUGUAUUUAUUAGAUAAAAAUCAACUUUGUUGGUGAAUCAUAAUAACUUCUCGGACCGCAUGGCCUCGUGCUGGCGGUGCUUCAUUCAAAUAUCUGCCCUAUCAACUGUCGAUGGUAGGAUAGAGGCCUACCAUGGUUGCAACGGGUAACGGGGAAUAAGGGUUCGAUUCCGGAGAGGGAGCCUGAGAAACGGCUACCACAUCCAAGGAAGGCAGCAGGCGCGCAAAUUACCCAAUCCCAACACGGGGAGGUAGUGACAAUAUGUAACAAUAUACGGCCUUAUACGUCGUAUAAUUGGAAUGAGUACAAUUUAAAUCCCUUAACGAGGAACAAUUGGAGGGCAAGUCUGGUGCCAGCAGCCGCGGUAAUUCCAGCUCCAAUAGCGUAUAUUAAAGUUGUUGCAGUUAAAAAGCUCGUAGUUGGACCUUGGACCUGGACAGGCGGUCCGCCUCACGGCGAGUACUGUCUUGCUGGGUCUUUCCUCUUGGUGAUCUGUUGUUUCGGCAGCAGGGAACCAGGACCUUUACUUUGAAAAAAUUAGAGUGUUCAAAGCAGGCUCGACGCCGGAAUAUAUUAGCAUGGAAUAAUAAAAUAGGACGUGCGGUUCUAUUUUGUUGGUUUUUGGAAUCGCCUAAUGAUUAAUAGGGACAGUCGGGGGCAUUAGUACUCACAUGCUAGAGG
rnacentral:rRNA from 1 species